UAGUCUGCAACUCGACUACACGAAGCCGGAAUCGCUAGUAAUCGCGAAUCAGAAUGUCGCGGUGAAUACGUUCCCGGGUCUUGUACACACCGCCCGUCACACCAUGGGAGUCGGGAAUGCCCGAAGUCAGUGACCCAACCGAAAGGGGGGAGCUGCCGAAGGCAGGCCUGGUAACUGGGGUGAAGUCGUAACAAGGUAUC
rnacentral:rRNA from 1 species